UAUGUGUCUGGGCAGAUAAGUUUCCCUGACAAGAAUAAUGAGAUGUGAGGCACCCAUCUGGCUCAGUUGGUGGAGCAUGUGACUCUUGAUCUCAGGAUUAUAGGCUCCGUGCCCUAUUUUGGGUGUAGACAUUACUUAAAAUAAUAAUAAUAAUAAAUUCUUUAAAAGAAAAAAGAACAAUCAAGUAUUAGUCACACAAGGGCAUGGGGUGUAUGUUCUAUGCAAGAGGAUCUUCUAGUUCAAACACCUGGAUGCUGCAGAGGCCUAGGCUUGUUGGGGAAUGAUUUACAACCUAGAUUUUUAUACCUAGCAAAACUACCGGUAAAAAUGUGAAGAGGGAACGAAAGGCAAGACAGAUGCUGAAAUGCAAGGUUUCAAAAAAUUUACCUGCCGUGCAUCUCUUCCCAGGAAGCUAGUUGAGGACCUGCAUCACCAAAAUCAAGGAGUAAAUCAAGAGAGCAAACAACAUGUGAAUAACUGCAUGAAGCUCAGCCUGGCAUUAGGAUUGGUGAAUCUGAUGGCCACCUAGGCUGUUCCUCCCACAAUGGCUUUGCAGCUCAUGGAGGAGAGAGACAUUGUGAGCAGCACUUUAGGCUCCUUGGCCUCAUGGACUAGGAACUUCUGGAAGCCACUGGACAGCAUGCACUUUGCUUUCUUAUUGCUCACGUAACCACUGUUGGGCAUCAAGAUCUGGCCCUUGAAUCUUCUGUGCACCCUACAGCUAGUACCUCUGGGUUUCCACCACUUGUGCUUCAUUUUGACAUCUGACUGGUGCUGGAUGAACUUCUUGGUCCUCUUUUUAACAAUCGUGGGCUUUACCAGAGGUCUGAAGAUGGCCAUGAUGACAAGUAAGAGAUGGCUGCCAAAAUUUGUCUUUUAUUAUUAAUGGUUCAGAUGCAGAAAAUAGGUGAAUUCACAUAGACCCACACAUUGUUUGUAGCAUUACUACAUGUUCGUGUCUCAUAAACAGAGGAAUUUUGGUAAAUUCUAUACUGUCUGAUUCCAUCAAAAAUGAAAAAGGUGGGGGCACCUGGGUAGUGCAGUUGGUUGAGCGUCUGAUGCUUGGUUUUAGCUUGAGUUGUGGUCUUGGGGUUGUGA
rnacentral:tRNA from 1 species